CCUACGGGUGGCAGCAGUGGGGAAUAUUGGACAAUGGGCGAAAGCCUGAUCCAGCAACGCCGCGUGAGGGAUGACGGCCUUCGGGUUGUAAACCUCUUUCAGCGGGGACGCGGUACCCGCAGAAGAAGCACCGGCCAACUACGUGCCAGCAGCCGCGGUAAUACGUAGGGUGCGAGCGUUGUCCGGAAUUAUUGGGCGUAAAGGGCUCGUAGGCGGUUUGUCACGUCGGGAGUGAAAACUCAGGGCUUAACCCUGAGCCUGCUUCCGAUACGGGCAGACUAGAGGUAUGCAGGGGAGAACGGAAUUCCUGGUGUAGCGGUGAAAUGCGCAGAUAUCAGGAGGAACACCGGUGGCGAAGGCGGUUCUCUGGGCAUUCCUGACGCUGAGGAGCGAAAGUGUGGGGAGCGAACAGGAUUAGAUACCCUUGUAGUC
rnacentral:rRNA from 1 species